UAUCCCUUUUGUCACAUGAACACGUCUUGGAGAUCUGCGGAUGGUUCUAAAAAUAGACGAAAAAUAUAUUACUUCGAGAGUUCGAAAAGUUUGAAAAGCACAAACCUCUUCUGGAGGACAUUUCAUCUUCAAAGUUAAUGGCAUGAAAUUCGGUAAUGGAGGUGAUUCCGUAGCGAUAGAUAGAUCGAAUUCACUCAUGCUGCGCGGCACAAAAUAUUCAAUUGAAGGUUCAGCUGCUAGAAUGGAAGAAAUUCAAAAUUUUCAAUGAUAUCGGGUUACAAAUGUGUAACAAUGUUUAUUAAUUAGAAUACAUUCGUACAUUGCCUAUUAAA